AUUGAACGCUGGCGGCAUGCCUUACACAUGCAAGUCGAACGGCAGCGGACCUUCGGGUGCCGGCGAGUGGCGAACGGGUGAGUAAUGCAUCGGAACGUACCUUUCAGUGGGGGAUAACGUAGCGAAAGUUACGCUAAUACCGCAUCUUCUGUGAGCAGGAAAGCAGGGGAUCGCAAGACCUUGCGCUGAUUGAGCGGCCGAUGUCAGAUUAGCUAGUUGGUGAGGUAAAGGCUCACCAAGGCGACGAUCUGUAGCGGGUCUGAGAGGAUGAUCCGCCACACUGGGACUGAGACACGGCCCAGACUCCUACGGGAGGCAGCAGUGGGGAAUUUUGGACAAUGGGGGCAACCCUGAUCCAGCCAUGCCGCGUGAGUGAAGAAGGCCUUCGGGUUGUAAAGCUCUUUCGGCCGGGAAGAAAUCGCACAGGCUAAUACCUUGUGUGGAUGACGGUACCGGAAUAAGAAGCACUGGCUAACUACGUGCCAGCCGCCGCGGUAAUAC
rnacentral:rRNA from 1 species